GGCUGUCGAGUUGAAUCUGAUAAAUUGAAAGAAAUUAAGAUAUGAACGAUAUUUGAUUUUGACACUGCAUGUUUUCAUAACUGAAAUAUGAAAUAGAAAACUAAUUGAACUUUGACCUAGCUAUGUUGAGGACCCCAUUGGCAAUUGACAAUCCUGAAGGACUCACCGCAAGAAGAUUAAUGGGUGUUGAUGACCCUGCCACAGGGAACAUGGGAUCAUAGUCCAGGAUCGACAAGAUGAAUUGAAUAUAUGAAAGAAUCUCGAAACCGUGAAACGAAUCUUAAGAAUUUAAGAAAUAUUUGACUUGUACCUUGGAACUGCAUGUAUAUUUAUUUUCUACGUAUUAUUGCUUGAUUUAUCUAGUUAGAGUGUUCAUUACUUACUGGGUUGUUUAGCUCAUUAUACAAUUUCUUGUUGUUUUACAGAUUUCGAGGACUAGUCUAUUGUGGUUCCAAAAUGGGAGAGCGACUAGCAGGAUUAUGGCGCAGGCUAUCUUAGAUUAGGAUUAUUUAAGUUGAACUAUUAUCUUAGACAUUUAUUAUGAUUGCUGGACAUUGCAAGGUUUUGUUAUUUUAAGAACUAAGUUUGCAUGUUGCUAAAUUAGUGUUCCGCUGCGUA
rnacentral:lncRNA from 1 species